GUGGAUUAGAUACCCUGGUAGUCCACGCCCUAAACGAUGUCAACUAGCUGUUGGGGGCUUCGGCCCUUGGUAGCGCAGCUAACGCGUGAAGUUGACCGCCUGGGGAGUACGGUCGCAAGAUUAAAACUCAAAGGAAUUGACGGGGACCCGCACAAGCGGUGGAUGAUGUGGAUUAAUUCGAUGCAACGCGAAAAACCUUACCUACCCUUGACAUGUCUGGAAUGCCGAAGAGAUUUGGCAGUGCUCGCAAGAGAACCGGAACACAGGUGCUGCAUGGUCGUCGUCAGCU
rnacentral:rRNA from 1 species